UAUAUAUGAGAGGUCUAGGAUACAAGUGUCCUACUUGGACACGACUCCAUAUCCUGUCUACACACCGUAUGACUCCAAGUCCAACUGUAACCUAACUUGUACAAUAAUAUUCGACACAACUCUAACAAACUCCACCUUGGUGAAUAUUCUCCACCACCUUGAAUUCGUCAGUGCGUCGAACCUCCAUGUACAUUGGACUUGAGAUACGUCAUGAGCACCGCUG
rnacentral:rRNA from 1 species